rnacentral:rRNA from 1 species
UACGUAGGGUGCGAGCGUUAAUCGGAAUUACUGGGCGUAAAGCGUGCGCAGGCGGCUUUUCAAGUCUGAUGUGAAAGCCCCGGGCUUAACCUGGGAACUGCGUUGGAAACUGAAAGACUAGAGUGCGGCAGAGGGGGGUAGAAUUCCACGUGUAGCAGUGAAAUGCGUAGAUAUGUGGAGGAACACCAAUGGCGAAGGCAGCCCCCUGGGAUAACACUGACGCUCAUGUGCGAAAGCGUGGGUAGCAAACAGG